rnacentral:misc_RNA from 1 species
CAACCAAAAAAAUCCAAUAAUUACAAUUUCCCUAAGCAAAAACAAAACCAGACACUUUCACUUCAGCUGCUUCCUCUGUUCUUCCACCUCAACCACAAUCAUGGCUUCUCUUCUGGCUAACGGUGUUUCAAGCUUUUCUCCUCAACCCAUCUCCGAUUCUGCUAAACUAUCCAAACCCUUUUCAUUUCCUUUAAAACCCGCCAUCUCCAGACCGGCAAAUUUAGUCAAGAUCCGAGCUGAUGUCGGCUUCGAAUCCAAGAC